GGCCACAGCCACAGAAGUAGUAAGUGCUAGAAGUAGGAUUCUUACCUAGUUCUUUCUGAUUCUAGUUUCAGCUUUGUUCAGUGGAUUUUAGAGCCAGGGCUGUUUAGGUUUGAAUCUCAUCUCUAUCCCAUAUUGUUUGCUGGGACUUCCUUAAAACAGUGUGGGGCCCAGGGCAACCCAAUGAGUAUGGGGCUAAGAUAGCUGACAGCUGCCACCGAGUCAGCAUUUUUCACAGGCCCGUUGAGAUCGCACUGAAGACAGAAAUUUCUAAAUUGAAUUUUAUUGAUGUUCAGGAAAGAGAAGUAAGUCACAACGCCCCUUCGCCCUCAGCCCCAAGCAGAGAGCCCAGAGUGUGUGACCUCAGGCAAGUGCCAAAACCUCUCUGAGCCUCAGUUCCUCAUUGUAAAUAGGGGCUAAUGUCAGUUGAUGUGAGGAGUAAAUAUCAUGAUAUCCUGGCUGGGCACAGUGGCUCACGCCUGUAAUCCCAUAACUUUGGGAGGCUGAGGUGGGUGGAUUACUUGAGGCCAGGAGUUCGAAACCAGCCUGGCCAACAUGGUGAAACCCCAUCUCUACCAAAGAUACAAAAAUUAGCCAGGCAUGGUGGUUCAUGCCUGUAGUCCCAGGUACUUGUGAGGCUGAGGCACAAGAAUCGCUUGAACCUGGGAGGCUGAGGUUGCAGUGAGCUGAGAUUGCGCCACUGCACUGCAGCCUACAUGACAGAGUGAGACUCUGUUCCAAAACAACAACAACAAAAAAAAAAAAAAAAAAAGGAAAAGAAAAAAAGAAAAGAAAAAGAUGAUAUCCUUAAUGCAAGUUCUGGCCUGUAGUAAGUGCUCAAAGAUGAACAGUUGUUACUAUUCUAGUUGUGGCUAAUUUUCACCCUGCCAAUUGGGCAGGUCCUUGCCUUCCAUUGCUCUUGUAAGCACUUGAAUGAGAGCCUUUCUUGUCUGAACCCCAGAUAUAUUCUUGCUUGGCAUCUGAUUGAAAUAAUAAAACUAGUGUUAAUGCACCCUCCUCUCUGGACACUGUAAUCACUGGUGUGCUCUUCAGUUCUGUUGUAGGAAGCGGUUUCUUUCCACUCUCUCUUUUUUAAAAAAUUGAUUAAAAAGUGUUGUUAUACACACGGUUUACAAUUCAAUAAAAUGAAACGGAAUGGGGAUGAAACAUAACGAACAACAGCAGUUCAUUGUCCCUAUUGUUCCCACCCUUCUGGGGAGCAGGCUUUCAGCAGAAUCUUCUGGUGCUUCUCCCCACAUCUCCUGCACGUCUCAUUGUUUGUAUUUUAUUAUUUUUUUGAGACACAGUCUCACUCUGUCACCCAGGCUGGAGUGCAGUGGUGCCAUCUUGGCUCACUGCAACCUCCCCCUCCUGGGUUCAAGCAAUGCUCCUGCCUCAGCCUCCCUACUAGCUGGGAUUACAGGCACCUGCCACCAUGCCCAGCUAAUUUGAUAUUUUUAGUAGACGCGGGGUUUCACCAUGUUGUCAAGGCUGAUCUCAAACUCCUGACCUCACGUGAUCCACCUGCCUUGGCCUCCCAAAGUGCUGGGAUUACAGGCGUGAGCCACCGCGCCCAGCUGUCUCAUAGUUUUAGACACUGUCUGUUGCCUUCCUGGUAAACCUGGCAAGGACUUAGCUCUUUUACACCCCAGCCCUGUCCAUUCUUGAGGUUUGGGUUUGCCACAAUUUGUAGAAAAUGAACAGUGUUUACAGAAUUGUGACUAUAUAAAUAUUAUUCACCACAGAGCUUAAUAAUGUGCUGUGAGGUCAGGCAUGGUGGCUCACGCCUGUAAUCCCAGCACUUCGGGAGGCCAAGGUGGGCGGAUCACCUGAGGUCGGGAGUUCAAGACCAACCUGGCCAACAUGGAGAAACCCCAUCUCUACUAAAAAUACAAAAAUUAGCCGGUGUGGUGGUGCCCCCUGUAGUCUCAGCUACUUGGGAGGCUGAGGCAGAGAAUCACUGGAACCUGGGAGGUGGAGGUUGCAGUGAGCCGAGAUCAUGCCACUGCACUCCAGCCUGGGCAACAGAGUGAGACUCUAUCUCAAAAUAUAAUAAAAUAAAAAUAAAAUACACUCUGAUGAUGGCUGCUUCCCCCAAGGGUGCCUCAAGCUCUCUCCUUUUCUUUCAGUGCCAUCUGCCAUUAUCGUGCCAUCGUUCUCUUCCAGUGCUCUGGUGGAGCAGGUGGCGCCCAGGCCCACAGUGCCCUCUCCAAGUUCUGUCCUCCAUGUGCUCAAGUUAUCCCCUAAACUUGUCACAUGUGGUCAUCCUGGAACUUUGCUUAACUGCUUCCUGGGUUGGGGCCUUUAUUUCCUGGCUCCCUUCUCUUCUUGCUUAAUUUCCCCUCCCUUUGCUGCAGCACAUACUCAGUUAAGAAUCCCUUUCUAACAUUAAAAAAAGAAAAAGAGAAUAGUUCUUGGAUCUCCUCAUGAUAGAAAUUAUAUCUUUAGGCCGGGUGUGGUGGCUCACGUGUGUAAUCCCAGCAGUUUGGGAGGCCGAGGCAGGUGGAUCACUUGAGCUCAGGAGUUCAAAACCAGCGUGAGCAACAUGGUAAAACCCUAUCUCUACAAAAAGUACAAAAAUUAGCCAGGUGUGGUUGCAUGUACCUGCAAUCCCAGCUACUCAGGAAGCUGAGGGAGGAGAAUCUCUUGAACCCAGGAGGUGGAGGUUGCAAUGAGCUCUGAUCAUGCCACUGCACUCCAGCCUGGGCGACAGAGUGAGACCCUGUCUCAAAAAAAACAAAAUAAAGUUGUAUCUUUAAUAUCCAUUAACUGAAAAAUAAAAAUAAAAAUAAGGACCAAAAAUUACUAUGAGGACACACAUGCUUUUAAAUGAAUUUGUGUGUUAUUAACCACAGUAACAUCUAUGAACUUGUGAAAAACUGUUACUGGUUUAGGCUUAAGGGUUUGCCCAGUCUAGCUUCAAUGUUCAAUGGGUGGGCACGGUGGCUCACACUUUGGGAGGUGGCCAAGGCAGGCAGAUCGCUUAGUCCAGGAGUUGGAGACCAGCCUGAGCCACAUAGUGAAACCCUAUCUCUACAAAAAAUUUAAAAAUUAGCUGUGCGCGGUCACGCGCACCUGUAGUCCCAGAUAUUGGAGGGCAGUGGGGGUUGGCGCUGAGGUGGGAGGAUCACUUGAGGCCAGAAGGUCAAGGCUGCAGUGAGCCGAGGCUGAGUCACUGCACUCCAGCCUGGGUGGCACAGCAAAACUCUGUCAAAAAAACAAAACAAAACAAAACAGACAAACAAGAACCAAAGUUGGAUGCAGUGGCUCAUAUCUGUAAUCCCAACAACUCGGAAGGCUCAGGCAGGAGGAUUGCUUGAGGCCAGGAGUUCAAGGCCAGCCUGGGCAACAUGCUGAGACCCUUGCCUCUGAAAAAAUUAAAUAUUAAUAAAAACAAACCCUAGUAGCUUCAGUCUUUGAUUCUCCAUCCCUCAUUUCAUCCCUUUGUCUUCUGGUAAUAGAAUUUCCUUCUUGUUUUUCUUUUGGGAUGAGCCACCUUCGCUCCCUGGGAUUCUGCUGGGAUUGAGUUACCGCCUUCCGGGCUCAAGCGAUCCUCCCACCUCAGCCUCCCAAGUCGCUAAGACCAUAGGUGCAUGCCACCAUGCCUGGCUAAUGUUUUGUAUUUUCUGUAGAGCCGGCGUUUUGCCCUGUUGCCCAGGAGUUUUUCCUUUAAUGUUCUCCUGCUACUUACUAAUUCACUUUGUCACCCUGUGAGCUCAUAAGAGCAGAGAGAUAGCAACAGGAGCUAAAAAAACUCUAAGCUGUGAAAAAAUAUUAAAUAUGAAAUCAUGAUAGCUAUUAGCUUAAUUUGUUUUAGGCAAAUUGCAAAGUAAUUUUUUGGGAAUCAGUGUCCCACUGCAGUGAUUCCAUAUGGGGAUUCCUAAUUCCCAGUAUGUUUUUAAAAUAAUUUGUAAACACCUAGUACAAACGCAUGAUAUGAAAUUCAAGAGGUACAAAAGGGCAUACAGCCCUGCACUCUCCCAGUUUCCCUCCCCGAAGGCAACCGCCAUUACCAGUUUCUCGUGUGUGCUUCCAGAGGUAUUCUUGUCCAACAGAACUUCAGUGAUGAAAACAGUUGCCUGUGCUGCCAGUUUGGAAGCCAUUAGCCACACGGGGCAGUUGAGCACUUGAUAUGUGGCUAGUGUGUCUUAGCAGCUGACUUUAAAAAAAAUUUUUUUUUUUUUAAAGACUCAGCGUCUUGCUCUGUUUACCAGACUGGACUGCAGUGAGUGUGAACAUGGCCUCAAACUCCUAUUUAUUUAUUUUUUGAGACAGGGCCUCACUCUGUUGUCCAGGCUGGAGUGCAGUGGUGCAGUCAUAGGUCACUGCAACCUUGACCUCCUGGGCUCAAGAAAUCCUCCCACCUCAGCCUCCUAAGUUGCUGGGACUACAGAUGAAUGCCACCAUGUUUGGCUGAUUUUUACUAUUUUAAAUUUUUUGCCUGGGCGCAGUGGCUCAUGCCUGUAAUCUCAGCACUUUGGGAGGCUGAGGCGGGCAGAUCACCUGAGGUCAGGAGUUCGAGACCAGCCUGGCCAACAUGGCGAAACCUUGUCUCUACCAAAAAUACAAAAAUUUGCUGGGUAUGGUGGUGCGUGCCUGUAGUCCCAGCUACUUGGAGGCUGAGGCACGAUAAUCGCUUGAACCCAGGAGACAGAUGUUGUAAUAAGCUGAGACUGCGCCACUGCACUGCAGCCUGGGUGACAGAGUGAGACCCGUCUCAAAAAAAAUAAAAAUAAAUAAAUUUUUUGUAGAAAAGGGGCUUCACUAUGUUGCCCAGGGUGUUCUUGAACUAUUGGCCUCAAGCUAUCCUCCCACUUGGCCUCCCAAAGUGCUAGGAUUACAGGCAUGAGCCACUGUGGCCAACCUAAGUUUAUAUGUAAAUAGCCAUAUGUGGCUAGUGGCUACUGUAUCAGACCUCACAGUUCUGUACAGAUAACGCACAGUGCACAGUAGCAUACUAUACACGCCCUACUAAAUCUUGCUUUGUUCCCUUAACAGCACCUAUGCAUCUUGGAGAUAGAUUGUCCCAGUCUGCCUCAUUUUUAAAAACUGCUGCAUAAUAUCCUCUUGUAAUCCACAAAGGCAAUCCCAGACCCAGCCUGGGGGGCCAUGGGUCAUCACUUUUUACAACAAGCUCUAAAAUCUUCCACAUAUACCAUAAUCAAGGCACUUCAGAACAACCCUAGGUUCCUCAUGCCUCUACUUUUAUUAGCCUGGGCCUGACAUAGUUGGACAUUGAAUAGUCACUUCUGGGGGCUGGUGGAAAUAAUUUACCAUGAGUGACUGCCCUAAAAUAUACUCUCCACCCACGUGGCCCGUGCCUGGCAUUCACUAGUGCUGGUGGCAUUCUUUAAGGUUGCUCAUAUCUCUAAGUGGUUCUCCUUUAAAGAGCAAAGUCUCCUGGGAAAGGUGGUCAUUAAGCAGAACAUCUGGGGCUCAUCUUGCUUUUGCCCUGUUGAGAGGGGCCAAGGGACUUGGUAGAGCAGCAGGGGCUCUGACGGUGAACCUCAUUGUUUUUAAAAUUAUUCUUAAGAGGCCAGGUGCGUUGGCUCACACCUGUAGUCCCAGGACUUUGAGAAGCAGAGGCAGGAGGAUCGUUUGAGUCCAGGAGUUCAAGAUUAGACUGAGCAACACGGGGAGACCUCAUCUCUACAAAAAAUUUAAAAGAAAAUUAAUUGGGCAUCAUGGCACGAGCCUGUGGUUCCCGCUACUUGGGAGGCUGAGGUGGGAGGAUCACCUGAGCCCAGGAGGUUGAGUCU
rnacentral:lncRNA from 1 species